GUGUGAAUAGAAACCGUUCCCGAACCCGUCAGACAUCCAGCAGAGAUAUAAAUACCUUACUAACCUCGUUUUCUUGGUCCGUACUGUAAGUUAUGGAUCCUUGUUUUUCCCCCUUCGAUUUAUGGCCCCCAUGCUUCGCGCUUGGGCCAUAAAUCGAUGUGGAAUAAACUCGGUCCGUGACUUACAAUAUGGCCCUCAAACUCAGUUAGGAAGAGGUAUUUAGGGCUUUAUUCCACUCACCCCUUCAAUAUUGUGAAUAUCAAAUGUAGGAUUGUGUUGAUUUUUCAUUGAUUUGUCAUUUGCAUAGCGUAAAAAGGAUCCAUCAGUAGAGGCAGCAGAAGAUAAAUCUGUUCAGGAUUGGGAUUUGAAAGAUGUUAUUUUUGUAGAAGAUAAACAUAACAUUCCUGUUGGAAAAGUACUUAAAGUGGAUGGACCUUACGCUGCUGUCAAGUUUCCACCCAAAGAUAGUGCUCUUCAGGCUGCAGCUACAGCUCUCUCAAAUGAAGAGGCCAGUGGAUCUCUUCUGCAGGACGUACGUCUUCUACGCAAGGAUGAACUUCAGGAGUUCAUGUGAUGCUGAAGACUCCAUCUGGUGUUCGUUACGCUCUUUAUAGCUUGGCAUCUUCCAAACCCGAACCCGGUGGAACUAUGCCAAAAGACUGUGCAACUUUCCUUAGUCAGCCUGGGUCCAGUGAUAUUCAGUUAUACCCAACUGGAGAUGUAAGAAAUAAAUCUCAAUGCUAUCAUCUACUUUGUGAUCUCUGUUAAUAAUGUUAGUAACGUUAGUAAUGUUAGUAAUGUUAUUGACAGAGAUCAUGGGUAGAUGGUUAUUUUUAUUGGCAACCCACAUCUUUUGUUGACUUGACCUUGUGUUCUUGACAAUAUAGAUAUAAAUAAAGCAUUAUUAUUAUCAUUAGUAUAUACCACACAAGUGAAUAGCACUCUUCGUGCACGCUGAUUGGCUAGCUUGGAGGUGAUUAGCCAAGCACUAUUCACCUCUGAGCAACCGAGGAAAAACAAAAUGGCUUCCGUUUCAAAUAAAGUUACUCUUAAACAAAUAAAGUUACUCUUUG